rnacentral:rRNA from 1 species
UACGUAGGGGGCAAGCGUUGUCCGGAUUUACUGGGCGUAAAGGGCGCGUAGGCGGCGCAACAAGUCACUUGUGAAAUCUCCGGGCUUAACCCGGAGCGGUCAAGUGAUACUGUCGUGCUAGAGUGCGGAAGGGGCUACUGGAAUUCUCGGUGUAGCGGUGGAAUGCGCAGAUAUCAGGAAGAACACCAACGGCGAAGGCAGCUCGCUAGGACGGUACUGACGCUGGAGACGCGAAAGCGUGGGGAGCGAACAGG